rnacentral:lncRNA from 12 species
CGCAUGCGGAAAUGUGCUUUCCCCUGUCAAUGUUAAUUGUUUAAUUAGUUUUGCACAAAAACACAAAAAGCAUAAAAAGGCACAAUGUUUGGUGGAAUGGCCCUUGUGAAGCUCCAGCAGGUUUCUCUGUUUUGGCUCGGAGGGGAUGGAUUGUUCUACAGCUUUUGCCUCAGGCAGUGUCCUCAGUUUCCAAUGGACUGCUAUUGAGUGACUCUAUUCAUAGCCCUUGCCCCGUCCCAGGCAAGCCAUGUGUCCUCUCAGCAGUACUACACCGCACAUCUGUUCAGCUGCUUUCUUUCUCCAUUAUCAUUUAGUCAGACUCAUUUAAGAUGCAGUGCUAUCAGAGGGGAUUAUGUUCACCCCUGAGAGGGCAUCUCCUGUUCCUCAAGCCGCUUUCUUCACGGCCAUUUUCUGUACAGUUACGAUAUAAUCCAGCGCCCGUUCUUAUGUAACUCCAGCGAAGUACAGAUAUUAAUAAUCCCACGCGGCCUGUGGCACGCUGGCUCUGUGACAUCACCGUCAGCCACAGCGGAGUAUGACUAGAGCACUGUGGGUAAACACGCUAAACAGCAGGACAUGGAGCACUUUGCUGGAGUUCACAGGGCUGCCAGUGUGUAGAUUAUUCAUAGAUUAUGGGCCAUGGAGAUGAUGGGGGUUGAAAGGCAGUGUGAGAUGGAGGUAUUGAAACAGUCCCAAAAAGAUUUACAGUGGGUCCAAAAACAGCUGUCAAUCAUCACUAACAGAACCAAUGGACCAGGCAGAACCAAAGAUAAGAAACUGAGGAAUGAGGUGUUUCCGUUGCAUUUAUCUGAGUUAUCGCCUCAGCAUGUGGAAGCAUACCGACUACUAGAGGACAGGAAACACAAACUCUCACCUGAGACUGCCGCCCUCUACCUGCUUCGACAACAGCACAAGCUAUUGGUCAGUCUGCAUGCAUCUGUCCUCCUAACCAUAUGCCAAUGAUCUUGAUGUUUAAGGGUUUUGUUUAAGGAAAGAAAAGAAGGAAGAAGUGUUGUAUUCUGCCUAUAUGCUUGCUUAAAUUAUUUUAACAUUACACAGAUGUAUAAACACACAUAUCCCACCAGAGAUCAUUUGGAUGUGCUGGGCCAGAUGUAAAUGAAUUGCAU